CCCAUUUCAAAGGAGGAGCAGGCGCGCAAUUACCCAAUCCUGACUCAGGGAGGUAGUGACAAGAAAUAACAAUAAACCGGCUUAUGCCGGUUUAAUUGGAAUGAGUACAAUUUAAACAUCUUAACGAGGAACAAUUGGAGGGCAAGUCUGGUGCCAGCAGCCGCGGUAAUUCCAGCUCCAAUAGCGUAUACUAAAGUUGUUGCAGUUAAAAAGCUCGUAGUUGGAUUUCUGUGGGGACGGAGCGGCCGGCCGCAACACGCGGUUCGAACUAGCGCUUUCCCUACAUCCUGCCGCGAACCGUGCUACCAUUAGUUUGGUGGCGCCGGGGAUCGGCUCGAUUACUUUGAGAAAAAUAGAGUGUUCAAAGCAGGCCACACGCCUUGAAUAAGUUAGCAUGGAAUAAUAACUAAGGACUUCGGUUCUAUUUUGUUGGUGUUCGGGACUGAAGUAAUGAUUGAUAGGGACAGUUGGGGCGGUCUGUAUUCCAAAGCGAGAGGUGAAAUUCUUAGACCUUCGGAAGACAAACAGCUGCGAAAGCGUUCCGCAAGGAUGUUCCCUUUGAUCAAGAACGAAAGUUGGGGGAUCGAAGACGAUCAGAUACCGUCGUAGUCUCAACUAUAAACUAUACCAGCUAGGGAUCGGCCAACGUUAUUCUAUACCGACUUGGUCGGCACCUUAUGAGAAAUCAAAGCAUCUGGGUUCCGGGGGGAGUAUGGUCGCAAGGCUGAAACUUAAAGGAAUUGACGGAAGGGCACCACCAGCCGUGGAGCCUGUGGCUUAAUUUGACUCAACACGGGAAAACUUACCAGGUCCAGACAUAGUAAGGAUUGACAGAUUGAUAGCUCUUUCUUGAUUCUGUGGGUGGUGGUGCAUGGCCGUUCUUAGUUGGUGGAGUGAUUUGUCUGGUUAAUUCCGUUAACGAACGAGACCCCAGCCUGCUAAAUAGCGCGUGUGAGCUUUGCUCGCAGCGAGCUUCUUAGAGGGACUAUGAUGCGCGAUAGCACAUGGAAGUUUGGGGCAAUAACAGGUCUGUGAUGCCCUUAGAUGUUCUGGGCCGCACACGGGCUACACUGGCGCCUGCAACGAGCAUAUCAGCUGGCCCGAGAGGGUCUUGGCUAAUCUUUUGAACCGGCGCCGUGCUUGGGAUUGACCUUUGCAAUUGUUGGUCAUGCAACGAGGAAUGCCUUGUAAACGCGAGUCAUCAGCUCGCAUUGAAUACGUCCCUGCCCUUUGUACACACCGCCCGUCGCUCCUACCGAUGAAUGUUCCGAUGAAAUUUUCGGAGAGUGCCUGUGAACUUGGCUCUGCCUUGCGAACGGGAAGCUCAAAGUCACU
rnacentral:rRNA from 1 species